rnacentral:misc_RNA from 1 species
AAAGCAGGAAAAUGGUAAAUGGUUUGGAUACAAAAUUUUAUAAAUUUUGACAAAUUACAAUUUAAAGAACCAAUUUAUAAUCUUUCAACUACAAGUUUCUGAAUUCGGAGAUUGAUUUAUUGAAAUGUACAAAAAUUCUUUCUUUCUUUUUUUUUUUUUCAAAAAGAAGGAACAUAUCGCCCAUCAAACUCUAAUCCUUUUCUUUCAUUUGUACACAGAACUAUCC